rnacentral:rRNA from 1 species
GACGAACGCCGGCGGCGUGCCUAAUACAUGCAAGUCGAACGCUUUUUCUUUCACCGGAGCUUGCUCCACCGAAAGAAAAAGAGUGGCGAACGGGUGAGUAACACGUGGGUAACCUGCCCAUCAGAAGGGGAUAACACUUGGAAACAGGUGCUAAUACCGUAUAACACUAUCUUCAACAUGGAAGAAAGUUGAAAGGCGCUUUUGCGUCACUGAUGGAUGGACGCGGGGUGCAUUAGCUAGUUGGUGAGGUAACGGCUCACCAAGGCAACGAUGCAUAGCCGACCUGAGAGGGUGAUCGGCCACACUGGGACUGAGACACGGCCCAGACUCCUACGGGAGGCAGCAGUAGGGAAUCUUCGGCAAUGGACGAAAGUCUGACCGAGCAACGCCGCGUGAGUGAAGAAGGUUUUCGGAUCGUAAAACUCUGUUGUUAGAGAAGAACAAGGAUGAGAGUAAAAUGUUCAUCCCUUGACGGUAUCUAACCAGAAAGCCACGGCUAACUACGUGCCAGCCGCCGCAGUAA